rnacentral:rRNA from 1 species
ACGAAGCAGUACCGAUAAGGAGCUGUGGACUGUAUAGAAGAGAGAAUGCCGGAAUGAGUAGCGAGAGGAAGGUGAGAAUCCUUCCGGCCGAAUAUCUAAGGUUUCCAGAGUAAAGCUGAUCUGCUCUGGGUAAGUCGGGGCCUAAGGCCAGGUCGAAAGACGUAACCGAUGGACAACAGGUUGAAAUUCCUGUACCUUAAGUAAACAGAACUGUGGGGACACGUGUGGAGAGCACAAGCCGGAAAUGGAAAAGCCGGUGCAAGCGAGGUAGGAGAUGAGCAGGCAAAUCCGUUCAUCAAUCCGAAGACGUGAUGCGGACCGAAUUAAGAGUAGGGAAGUGUGUGAGCCAUGCGUCAAGAAAAGCCGCUAUUGUUUUACUUAAGCCCGUACCGUAAACCGACACAGGUGGAUGAGGAGAGAAUCCUAAGGCCGACGGGAGAAGCAUUGUUAAGGAACUCGGCAAAAUGACUCCGUAACUUCGGGAGAAGGAGUGCCAGCGAGAGCUGGCCGCAGAGAAUUGGCCCAAGCAACUGUUUAGCAAAAACACAGGUCUAUGCAAAACCGUAAGGUGAAGUAUAUGGGCUGACGCCUGCCCGGUGCUGGAAGGUUAAGAGGAGAGGUUAGCGGUAACGCGAAGCUUUGAAUUUAAGCCCCAGUAAACGGCGGCCGUAACUAUAACGGUCCUAAGGUAGCGAAAUUCCUUGUCGGGUAAGUUCCGACCCGCACGAAAGGCGUAAUGAUUUGGGCACUGUCUCAACAAUGCACCCGGUGAAAUUGAAAUACCAGUGAAGAUGCUGGUUACCUGCGCCAGGACGGAAAGACCCCAUGGAGCUUUACUCCAGCUUGAUACUGGGAUUCGGUAUUGCAUGUACAGGAUAGGUGGGAGGCUAGGAAGUGAUGACGCCAGUUGUCACAGAGCCGCUGUUGGGAUACCACCCUUGCAGUAUUGGAUUUCUAACCAGCGACCAUGAACUGGUCGGGGGACAAUGUCAGGUGGGGAGUUUGACUGGGGCGGUCGCCUCCGAAAGGGUAUCGGAGGCGCUCAAAGGUUCCCUCAGAAUGGACGGAAACCAUUCGAAGAGUGCAAAGGCAGAAGGGAGCUUGACUGCGACACCGACGGGUGGAGCAGGUACGAAAGUAGGACUUAGUGAUCCGGUGGUAUAAAGUGGGAUUGCCAUCGCUCAACGGAUAAAAGCUACCCUGGGGAUAACAGGCUUAUCACUCCCAAGAGUUCACAUCGACGGAGUGGUUUGGCACCUCGAUGUCGGCUCAUCGCAUCCUGGGGCUGAAGUAGGUCCCAAGGGUUGGGCUGUUCGCCCAUUAAAGCGGUACGCGAGCUGGGUUCAGAACGUCGUGAGACAGUUCGGUCCCUAUCCGGCGUGGGCGUAGGAUAUUUGAGAGGAGCUGUCCUUAGUACGAGAGGACCGGGAUGGACUGGCCGCUGGUGUAUCUGUUGCAUACCAAGUGCAUGGCAGAGUAGCCAAGCCGGGACGGGAUAAACGCUGAAGGCAUCUAAGCGUGAAGCCCCCCUCAAGAUGAGAUAUCCCUACGUAAGUAGUAAGACCCCUUGAAGACGACGAGGUAGAUAGGUCAGAGGUGGAAGUACAGUAAUGUAUGGAGCUGACUGAUACUAAUCGGUCGAGGGCAUGACCA